GGUAAAAUGGCUGAAAUUAGGCGAUAAAUUGUAAAUUUAUUUAUGAAUGAAUAUUCUUUUACCA
rnacentral:tRNA from 1 species